rnacentral:rRNA from 1 species
CUACGGGGCGCACCAGUGAGGAAUAUUGCACAAUGGGGGGAACCCUGAUGCAGCAACGCCGCGUGGAGGAUGACGCAUUUCGGUGUGUAAACUCCUUUUAUAUGUCAAGAAAAUGACGGUAGCAUAUGAAUAAGCACCGGCUAACUCCGUGCCAGCAGCCGCGGUAAUACGGAGGGUGCAAGCGUUACUCGGAAUCACUGGGCGUAAAGGACGCGUAGGCGGGUUGGAAAGUCAGGUGUGAAAUCCUACAGCUUAACUGUAGAACUGCACUUGAAACUUCUAAUCUAGAGUAUGGGAGGGGGAGAUGGAAUUAGUGGUGUAGUGGUAACAUCCGUAGAUAUCACUAGGAAUACCUAAAGCGAAGGCGAUCUCCUGGAACAUUACUGACGCUAAGGCGUGAAAGCGUGGGGAGCAAACAGGAUUAGAUACCCCCGUAGUC